AUCGCUUCUCGGCCUUUUGGCUAAGAUCAAGUGUAGUAUCUGUUCUUAUCAGUUUAAAAUGAUUACUAUAGUGAAGCAAGUUAACAUGUACAUUAACUCAC
ensembl:snRNA U2 U2 spliceosomal RNA